rnacentral:rRNA from 1 species
AGCGGCGGACGGGUGAGUAACGCGUGGGUAACCUGCCUCAUACACAUGGAUAACAUACCGAAAGGUAUGCUAAUACAAGAUGAUAUAAGAGAUUCGCAUGGAUUUCUUAUCAAAGCUCCGGCGGUAUGAGGUGGACCCGCGUCUGAUUAGCUAGUUGGUAAGGUAACGGCUUACCAAGGCGACGAUCAGUAGCCGACCUGAGAGGGUGAUCGGCCACAUUGGAACUGAGACACGGUCCAAACUCCUACGGGAGGCAGCAGUGGGGAAUAUUGCACAAUGGGCGAAAGCCUGAUGCAGCAACGCCGCGUGAGCGAUGAAGGCCUUCGGGUCGUAAAGCCCUGUCCUCAAGGAAGAUAAUGACGGUACUUGAGGAGGAAGCCCCGGCUAACUACGUGCCAGCAGCCGCGGUAAUACGUAGGGGGCUAGCGUUAUCCGGAUUUACUGGGCGUAAAGGGUGCGUAGGUGGUUUCUUAAGUCAGGAGUGAAAGGCUACGGCUCAACCGUAGUAAGCUCUUGAAACUGGGAAACUUGAGUGCAGGAGAGGAAAGUGGAAUUCCUAGUGUAGCGGUGAAAUGCGUAGAUAUUAGGAGGAACACCAGUAGCGAAGGCGGCUUUCUGGACUGUAACUGACACUGAGGCACGAAAGCGUGGGGAGCAAACAGGAUUAGAUACCCUGGUAAUCCACGCCGUAAACGAUGAGUACUAGGUGU